rfam:Oryza meridionalis cultivar OR44 (W2112) chromosome 4, whole genome shotgun sequence.
UUUAAGUGUAGUUGUGGGUUUCUGUGCCUAACGUUUGAUCAUUCAUCUAUUUGAAAUUUUUCUAUGAUUAGUGUUUUUAUCAUUAUUAGAUCAUAAAACAUGAAUAGUAUUUUAUGCGUGACUUAUUGUUUUUUAUUUUUUAUAAAUUUUUCAAAUAAGACGAAUAUUCAAAAGUUGGACACGGAAACCCACAACUACACUUAAA